GCAUCCGUGAUGCAAAGGUCAGCAUACGCUCCCAGAAAGAAUGAGAUCUGGGUUCGAAUCCCGGCUGGCGCA